rnacentral:rRNA from 1 species
AGAGUUUGAUCCUGGCUCAGAUUGAACGCUGGCGGCAGGCCUAACACAUGCAAGUCGAGCGGUAACACAGGGAGCUUGCUCCUGGGUGACGAGCGGCGGACGGGUGAGUAAUGUCUGGGAAACUGCCUGAUGGAGGGGGAUAACUACUGGAAACGGUAGCUAAUACCGCAUAACGUCGCAAGACCAAAGAGGGGGACCUUCGGGCCUCUUGCCAUCGGAUGUGCCCAGAUGGGAUUAGCUAGUAGGUGGGGUAACGGCUCACCUAGGCGACGAUCCCUAGCUGGUCUGAGAGGAUGACCAGCCACACUGGAACUGAGACACGGUCCAGACUCCUACGGGAGGCAGCAGUGGGGAAUAUUGCACAAUGGGCGCAAGCCUGAUGCAGCCAUGCCGCGUGUAUGAAGAAGGCCUUCGGGUUGUAAAGUACUUUCAGCGAGGAGGAAGGCAUUAAGGUUAAUAAC